rnacentral:rRNA from 1 species
UGCCUCAGUAACGGCGAGUGAAGCGGCAAAAGCUCAAAUUUGAAAUCUGGCCCUCUCAGGGUCCGAGUUGUAAUUUGCAGAAGCUGUUUCGGGUGUGGCCCCGGGCUAAGUUCCUUGGAACAGGGCGUCAUAGAGGGUGAGAAUCCCGUAUGCGCCUGGGUGCCCACGCCCAUGUGAAACGCUUUCGACGAGUCGAGUUGUUUGGGAAUGCAGCUCAAAAUGGGUGGUAUAUUUCAUCUAAAGCUAAAUAUGGGCCAGAGACCGAUAGCGCACAAGUAGAGUGAUCGAAAGAUGAAAAGCACUUUGGAAAGAGAGUUAAACAGUACGUGAAAUUGUUGAAAGGGAAGCGCUUGCAAUCAGACUUGCGCCCGGGCGAUCAUCGGGGGUUCUCCCCCGUGCACUCGUUCGGGCGCAGGCCAGCAUCGGUUCUCGUGGUGGGAUAAAGGCCCUGGGAAUGUGGCCCCUCUCGGGGGGUGUUAUAGCCCAGGGCGCCAUGCCGCCUACGGGGACCGAGGACCGCGCUUCGGCUAGGAUGCUGGCGUAAUGGUUGUAAGCGACCCGUCUUGAAACACGGACCAAGGAGUCUAACAUCUAUGCGAGUGUUUGGGUGUCAAACCCAUACGCGUAAUGAAAGUGAACGGAGGUGAGAGCCCUCAAGGGCGCAUCAUCGACCGAUCCUGAUGUCUUCGGAUGGAUUUGAGUAAGAGCAUAGCUGUUGGGACCCGAAAGAUGGUGAACUAUGCGUGAAUAGGGUGAAGCCAGAGGAAACUCUGGUGGAGGCUCGCAGCGGUUCUGACGUGCAAAUCGAUCGUCAAAUUUGCGUAUAGGG